UGUCAACUUUUCAAUAACUUU
rnacentral:piRNA from 1 species